UUGACCGAUGGACCCACCCAGGCACCCCAAAGCCUACAUUACUAGAGAGCCUAUUCUAGAAAGAGGGUUAAGUAGAAGAAGGACACUAUUAUGGAUGGCUGUUAUGAGUAAUAAUUCAUUUGCAUGGAACGUGAUACUUUUAAACAGACAGCUUGAGAUGCAUUUCAGCCUCUGUAAUGGCAGUGUGAAAAGACAGCUGUAUCGUAUCACAUCCUACAGCAGAAAAGACCAUCACCUGUAGAGCCCAUUAUUAACAGUUGUCAAGAGAAAGGAAAAACACAAAUGUCCUUGGGAGAGCUAACUGUUGGUUUGUUCUGAGGUGUUGAAUUCUGGAGUCCAGCUCUUGCUAUAAUGAAAACAUGUAUAAGACAUAUCCUCCGGGCCCGGGUGGGUGGAUGCUGGUGAAAAGGUAGAGGAGGUAAGGAAGAGGGAGGAGAGAGGAAUGCAUAUUGGAAGAGUUAACAACCACUUUCUCUGUGGCUGGGGUUUUCUUUUCUUUUUCCCUUUUAAACUUACUGGAGAAGAAACAGCCCUUAUCCCUGUUCGUGCCAAACCCUUGCUAAGAUAAAAUAAAUGGUUGUCCCUCAAGAUUUUAAUUAAAAAAACAAACAAACAAACAAACAAAAAAAAAAAACACCGCUUCUCUCCUCAGCAUCGAUUUGCCAAACACCUGACCCUUGAGAAUGAAAUCCUAACCAUCAGGAAUUUGGCAGUGGUAUUCCUGAGUGCCCUUUGCCUUCGGAGUGACAGGUGUAGUUAUGUCUCCUCGAAAAUGCAGACAGAACAGUUCACCUGUCAGGUGAGAAACAAAUAACUAAGCUACCAGCCAGGCCCAUUAUC